GUGCCGGUGAUAUAAUUGGAGCCUUUCUAGUAUCCCGCUGGCCGGGUGUGCGGGUUCGAGUCCCGUCCGGCACG
rnacentral:tRNA from 1 species